UCUCUCUCUCUCUCUCUCUCUCGCGUGCGUGCGUCUGCCCGACCACCAAACGUCCACCGGCGGUCACCAAUUAUAGCCACGCGCCGGACCGUUGGAUUCAGAGGCCUCCGAACUAUCGACCACGAGGGAAUCUAGAGCUCACUCGCCGAUUAAACACCUCAACUAGUCGAUUUAAGUUCGGCCACCCCGCGACUUCAAAGUUGCGAUUCGGCCACCUCGGGCAUCCGUUUGUCGAUCCGUCACCACCAUCGUGUUCCUCGUGUUGUGGGCUUCAAAACCCAAUAACUUGUUCCUACAUCUACCAUAGUUGGGUGGUGGGCCCACCAUGAGCCACCGCGAUCCACCGUAGACCGACGGUCGAAACUUAGUGUUCGAGGUUCCGAAGUACGUUUUGAGUUUCAGAAAAUCACCGUUUGACUUGUUGUGGAACCCGAUCAUUGUGGAUUUGUAUGGAUUUGAUUGAUUGACUCUUGCUGAGCAAUUUUAAAAUAAGCUAAGGACCUAAGGUGUGGCUUUAGCUGUUGAGCAACUUGUGGAGCACGGACUCAGUAGCAAUGCAAUAAUGGUUUAGAGUUUUCAUAUGGCUGCCUUAAAUUUAAAGUAUUCAUACGUGU